rnacentral:rRNA from 1 species
AUUGAACGCUGGCGGCAGGCUUAACACAUGCAAGUCGAGCGGGGUGAUGGUGCUUGCACUAUCACUUAGCGGCGGACGGGUGAGUAAUGCUUAGGAAUCUGCCUAUUAGUGGGGGACAACAUCUCGAAAGGGAUGCUAAUACCGCAUACGUCCUACGGGAGAAAGCAGGGGAUCACUUGUGACCUUGCGCUAAUAAAUGAGCCAAAGUCGGAUUAGCUAGUUGGUGGGGUAAAGGCCUACCAAGGCGACGAUCGGUAGCGGGUCUGAGAGGAUGAUCCGCCACACUGGGACUGAGACACGGCCCAGACUCCUACGGGAGGCAGCAGUGGGGAAUAUUGGACAAUGGGGGGAACCCUGAUCCAGCCAUGCCGCGUGUGUGAAGAAGGCCUUAUGGUUGUAAAGCACUUUAAGCGAGGAGGAGGCUCUUUUGGUUAAUACCCAAGAUGAGUGGACGUUACUCGCAGAAUAAGCACCGGCUAACUCUGUGCCAGCAGCCGCCGUAA